GUGCUCGCGUCCUCCCCGCGCGGCGGACAGCCCGGGCGCCCUUCCUCUCUGCGGGACUGCAGGUCUAUCCGCUAAGCGCGCGUGACCAAAAACGGCUCUCAGCGGGUCCCAGCUGACGGAAGCUGGAAACUGGGAAGUUUGUCAGACAAAGCUCUUCAGGUUACUGGCAAUUUAUGUGCUGGGAGGUGGAUUUGUGGGCAGAGCUCCGGCUGACCUGGUGUUGUCCUGCUAUGGCUACAGACUUCUGACUAUGCUUAUCAGAAAAACUUUCAUUUGGUUCAAGGAUUUUUGCUGACAAGUUUAUUUAAUCCCUGAACCUGGAUCCAAGGCAUCUCCCUGUAGAAAACAUCAGACCGGGGCAGAGAUUGACAAAGCAACCCAAAGCAGCAGCUGCCAACGGCCGCUGUGCCCACCUCAUCAGCAGCUAAAGAGUAUAAUUUUAAAAAAAGUCACAGAAGAAUGUGGAGACACUUAGCAAAACGGACUCUCAUAAGGUUCCCUAUUUUGUCAGUAAGGAAGUAAACAACCGCUAAAACAACCCUCUAACAACAGAAGACCCUCAUGAGAACACCAGGCAGCAGAAGCUUCUUUAGCAGUAAAAGAUAUCUGGAUAUUCAUAUUUUGUUCCAUGAUCUUCAACAUUAAAUAAAUAAACUUAAUAUUCAAGU
rnacentral:lncRNA from 1 species